UACGUAGGGGGCAAGCGUUGUCCGGAAUUAUUGGGCGUAAAGAGCGCGUAGGCGGUCCGGUAAGUCGGUUGUGAAAGUCGGGGGCUCAACCCUCGGAUGCCGAUCGAUACUGCCGGGCUAGAGUCCGGAAGAGGCGAGUGGAAUUCCUGGUGUAGCGGUGAAAUGCGCAGAUAUCAGGAGGAACACCAAUGGCGAAGGCAGCUCGCUGGGACGGUACUGACACUGAGGCGCGAAAGCUGGGGGAGCGAACCGG
rnacentral:rRNA from 1 species